AUUGAACGCUGGCGGUAUGCUUAACACAUGCAAGUCGAACGGAAACGAUGGUAGCUUGCUACCAGGCGUCAAGUGGCGGACGGGUGAGUAACGCGUAGGAAUCUGCCCAGUAGUGGGGGACAACCAGGGGAAACCCUGGCUAAUACCGCAUACACUCUAUGGAGAAAAGGAGGCCUCUUCUUGAAAGCUUUCGCUAUUGGAUGAGCCUGCGUGAGAUUAGCUAGUUGGUAGGGUAAAGGCCUACCAAGGCGACGAUCUCUAGCUGGUCUGAGAGGACGAUCAGCCACACUGGGACUGAGACACGGCCCAGACUCCUACGGGAGGCAGCAGUGGGGAAUAUUGGACAAUGGAGGAAACUCUGAUGCAGCAAUGCCGCGUGUGUGAAGAAGGCCUUAGGGUUGUAAAGCACUUUCAGACGUGAGGAAAAGUGAGUAGUUAAUAACUGCUCGCCCUGACGUUAACGUCAGAAGAAGGACCGGCUAACUCCGUGCCAGCAGCCGCGGUAAUACGGAGGGUCCGAGCGUUAAUCGGAAUUACUGGGCGUAAAGCGCGCGUAGGCGGAUAUUUAAGUCAGAUGUGAAAUCCCUGGGCUCAACCUAGGAACUGCAUUUGAUACUGGAUAUCUAGAGUAUGGUAGAGGUGAGUGGAAUUUCAGGUGUAGCGGUGAAAUGCGUAGAGAUCUGAAGGAACAUCAGUGGCGAAGGCGACUCACUGGGCCAUUACUGACGCUGAGGUGCGAAAGCGUGGGUAGCAAACAGGAUUAGAUACCCUGGUAGUCCACGCCCUAAACGAUGUCAACUAGGAGUAUGGGAGUUUAUCUCUUGUGUUUCGAAGCUAACGCGAUAAGUUGACCGCCUGGGGAGUACGGCCGCAAGGCUAAAACUCAAAUGAAUUGACGGGGGCCCGCACAAGCGGUGGAGCAUGUGGUUUAAUUCGAUCCAACGCGAAAAACCUUACCUGCCCUUGACAUGUAGCGAACUUUCCAGAGAUGGAUUGGUGCCUUCGGGAACGCUAACACAGGUGCUGCAUGGCUGUCGUCAGCUCGUGUCGUGAGAUGUUGGGUUAAGUCCCGUAACGAGCGCAACCCCUAUCCUUAGUUGCCAGCAUUUAGUUGGGGACUCUAGGGAGACUGCCGGUGACAAACCGGAGGAAGGUGGGGAUGACGUCAAGUCAUCAUGGCCCUUAUGACCUGGGCUACACACGUGCUACAAUGGGCGGUACAGAGGGCAGCGAAGUCGCGAGGCGGAGCAAAUCCCACAAAACCGUUCUUAGUCCGGAUUGGAGUCUGCAACUCGACUCCAUGAAGUUGGAAUCGCUAGUAAUCGUAGAUCAGAAUGCUACGGUGAAUACGUUCCCGGGCCUUGUACACACCGCCCGUCACACCAUGGGAGUGGGUUGCACCAGAAGUAGCUAGACUAACCUUCGGGAAGUCGGUUACCACGGUGUGAUUCACAACUGGGGUGAAGUCGUAACAAGGUAGCCCUAGGGGAACCUGGGGCUGGAUCACCUCCUUU
rnacentral:rRNA from 1 species